UACGUAGGGUGCGAGCGUUGUCCGGAAUUAUUGGGCGUAAAGAGCUCGUAGGCGGUGUGUCACGUCGGCCGUGAAAACCUGGGGCUUAACUCUGGGCAUGCGGUCGAUACGGGCAUCACUAGAGUUCGGCAGGGGAGACUGGAAUUCCUGGUGUAGCGGUGAAAUGCGCAGAUAUCAGGAGGAACACCGGUGGCGAAGGCGGGUCUCUGGGCCGAUACUGACGCUGAGGAGCGAAAGCAUGGGUAGCGAACAGG
rnacentral:rRNA from 1 species